rnacentral:rRNA from 1 species
GAUGAACGCUGGCGGCGUGCCUAAUACAUGCAAGUCGAGCGAACGGACGAGAAGCUUGCUUUUCUGAUGUUAGCGGCGGAAGGGUGAGUAAAACGUGGAUAACCUACCUAUAAGACUGGGAUAACUUCGGGAAACCGGAGCUAAUACCGGAUAAUAUUUUGAACCGCAUGGUUCAAAAGUGAAAGACGGUCUUGCUGUCACUUAUAGAUGGAUCCGCGCUGCAUUAGCUAGUUGGUAAGGUAACGGCUUACCAAGUCAACGAUGCAUAGCCGACCUGAGAGGGUGAUCAGCCACACUGGAACUAAGACACGGUCCAGACUCCUACGGGAGGCAGCAAUAGGGAAUCUUCCGCAAUGGGCGAAAGCCUGACGAAGCAACGGCACGUGAAUGAUGAAGGUCUUCGGAUCGUAAAACUCUGUUAUUAGAGACGAACAUAUGUGUAAGUAACUGUGCACAUCUUGACGGUACCUAAUCAGAAAGCCACGGCUAACUACGUG